GGGUGUCACUUGCAUACCGCCGUGUGCUUAGGCACAAGUCAGCACAGAUACACACGCACAGACGCCUCCAAUGGGCACAGACAUGCACACACGUGUGUACCCACACAUCUCUCCAUGGCUCCGUCAUGAAGCACAGCACUGACCUCCACGGCCCAUAUCCCAGGACCCACAAACGGAUCCCCCCAGCUGUCUAACUGAGCGUUGCCUUGCUUCUAGGAGAGGGACCUAUGGGCCCCAGACCUCACAUCCCACUUGGCGCUGAUCAGCACCCUGGGGAGAUGAGGAAACUGAGGCGAAGAGGCUGCUCUGGAGGCUGUUCCUACAAAGCAGAAGUCAACUCCCUUCAACCCACCUGCCUUUAAAAGCACCAGUUGGUAAGCCUUUCCUCACCAACCCUUCCCACUUUGGGCAGCCUGAUCACCCACCAUCACCCAGCCCUGGAAAUCCCUCUUCUGGAAGCC
rnacentral:lncRNA from 1 species